rnacentral:rRNA from 1 species
AUUGAACGCUGGCGGCAGGCCUAACACAUGCAAGUCGAGCGGAUGAAGGGAGCUUGCUCCUGGAUUCAGCGGCGGACGGGUGAGUAAUGCCUAGGAAUCUGCCUGGUAGUGGGGGAUAACGUCCGGAAACGGGCGCUAAUACCGCAUACGUCCUGAGGGAGAAAGUGGGGGAUUUUCGGACCUCACGCUAUCAGAUGAGCCUAGGUUGGAUUAGCUAGUUGGUGGGGUAAAGGCCUACCAAGGCGACGAUCCGUAACUGGUCUGAGAGGAUGAUCAGUCACACUGGAACUGAGACACGGUCCAGACUCCUACGGGAGGCAGCAGUGGGGAAUAUUGGACAAUGGGCGAAAGCCUGAUCCAGCCAUGCCGCGUGUGUGAAGAAGGUCUUCGGAUUGUAAAGCACUUUAAGUUGGGAGGAAGGGCAGUAAGUUAAUACCUUGCUGUUUUGACGUUACCAACAGAAUAAGCACCGGCUAACUUCGUG